rfam:Sorghum bicolor cultivar BTx623 chromosome 9, whole genome shotgun sequence.
AUCCCAUGAUGAUGACACUCGAGUAUGUAGUCUUGAAAGUGCUCCCAAGCUUCUGGGACUAUCUCAUCAUAUUGUUGCUAAAAACUUGAUAUCUUUCCACGAAGAGC